rnacentral:rRNA from 1 species
AUACGGAUGGUGCGAGCGUUAAUCGGAAUUACUGGGCGUAAAGCGUACGUAGGCGGUUUGCUAAGUCAGAUGUGAAAGCCCCGGGCUUAACCUGGGAACUGCAUUUGAUACUGGCAGACUAGAGUAUGAUAGAGGGGGGUAGAAUUCCUGGUGUAGCGGUGAAAUGCGUAGAUAUCAGGAGGAAUACCAGUGGCGAAGGCGGCCCCCUGGAUCAAUACUGACGCUGAGGUACGAAAGCGUGGGGAGCGAACAGGAUUAGAAACCCUAGUAGUCC